UUAACAUAUUUUUUUGUUAUUUUGUCCAAAAACAGCAACAACAAAAAUCGUAGAAAAAAUACAGCACAUCGUAUUGGAAAGUCAUCGAAUGCCUGAAAGAGAUUUAGUAGAAGCCCUAGGCAUGUCAGUGGGCAGUGUAACAAUAUUUUGAGUGAAGUAUUGGGUUUCAGAAAGAUGUGUUCACAAUGGGUGCCGCAUUCGCCAAUAAUGGAACGAAAACACACUCGAAUGCCACAACAUUUAGUUAGAGCAAUGGUUAGGUAAAAUUUAGAGCUUUUUCGGAAGGAUGAAGUGUAUUUGUGCGUCAAUUCAUCAGCAUGGAUGAGACUUAGGUCUAUCCUCAUGAUCCUGAAUCAAAACAAAAGCUAAAAAGUGGUGUGAACCUGGUUUUUCGGCUCCAAAACGAGUUCGCGUUCAGAAAUCGGACAAGAAGGUGUUAGCAUCAGUUUUUUGAGAUGCGAAAUGAAUUUUGUUUCUUGAUUACUUGCAAACUAGUUGUAAUGAUACGCCGAUACGUCGAACACGCAUCGACACUUAGAACCGUGCGAGUUUCACAAAUCGCGCAGAUGGCCCCACGCAGUUCCACUUUUCCGAAACAACACUGACAGAGGGAUAUUUAAGGAGGCCACAAGCAGAGAGCAAACAUCCGCCAGUCUUGAAGCGACAGCUCUGGGCUCCACAACCAGCCAAGCGAGGUGAGCUAGGCAGGCCGACCUGAGUACCGAGGUACCGUGGUGAAGUGAUCUCGCAAGCUAAGGAAGGCCAACUCGAGGCGCAAGGUGUACCGUGGUGAGGUAAUUUGCGGCUCAUAAGUAAACGGUGGCAAGGGUGACGUCUAUCCGGAGGAGGACUUCGCUGCGACCCGGCGACGCACAGUGGUUCCAAAUGCCGAAAACGUGGUCAUGAAACUUCAAAAGCGUAUAUUGUUUAUACAUUUUGAAAUUACUUUCGUUCUUAAGGGUUUUUGGCAUCGCUGAUUACGAAUCUGGUAUUAUUUUUUCUGAAAAACAAAAUGGCGGAUCCAACAUGGCGGAAAUAAAUUAAAAAUAUCAAUCAAAAAGGAAAAUUUUUUGUCAAAUUUGGUAGGUUAAGGUCGCUGAUUACAAAUCUAACAUUACAUUUUUUAUACAAAAUGGCGGAUCCAAUAUGGACGAAAGAAAUUCGAAAAAUUUUAUAUUAUAAGGGACUUUUGAAACUGCUGAUUACCAAUACAUUUUCUUUAUGAAGUAUAAUAUUCAGAACCUAUUACUUAUGUACAACUGCCCAUACAUACUCAACAAUCGCCAGAAUCAUGUAAUAUGCGUCAUUUCCCACUUUUGUAUUCAAACAACUGUCAGCAAUGCAUAGGCAGCUGAACCAAAGUGAUUCUGUAUAUUCUUACUAUAUAUUUUUAGACUAAUAAACAUUAGUCGCAAAAUUAUGCAGAAUUUUGUACUUUUUGAAUGCAUCUUUACAAAAUUUUAAUUAUUUCAAGUAUAUUUUCACUAUUUCUGCAUUAACAAAUUUAAGGCAUUUAUUGUUAAUAAAUGUUGAUUUAAGUUACAUCUUACAUUACUACAUACUUAAAAAAGAAGAAUCUGCUUUAGAGCGAUAAAAUUGAUAAACUACAAAACGUUUUACAGCGUUUUCAAUAUACGCGUUCUUUUUCACUUUCUCUGCCGGCCAAAAUAACCCCGGACAUGGCCCACUUGUUCCUGAUUUGUGAACCAGAAUACAUUCAGUCUCUUCCUCAUACCUGCGUAUUAGGACUCUACGAUAGUAUGAGAAAACAACUGUAAACCUGAAAAUCCCUAAAUAGGGACUCCUUUUUUCGCCUUAUGACCACGUUUUCAGCAUUUGGAACCACUGUGGAUAGAAUGAUAUUUUAUUUUUAUUUCUUUUGAUCUGUAAAUAAUUAGACUGAAUAUAUUUAUUUUGUUUUAA